UAUUUUAAACUUUUCUAGAUUAUGAGGCGGGACAUCAGAAUCUUCAUACGUACGUUUUGGGUCUAUUUCAAUAAUGCUUGUUCAAAGGAACUCGAAAUUCUAGUCGAUGGAAAUUGAUUGGAACCAAUAGUAGAGCAACUAUUGGUGAUAUUUUUAGUUAGCCGUCAGAGCGAGAGAUUUAGGAUAAGCGGUCUAAAUUAGCCGUCAGAGAGAGAGAGAGAGAGACUCUUCAUUUGUGAUAUUUUUAGUUAGUGGUGGUGGUGGCCUGGUGGGGUGUAUUUGUGGGAUUUGGUAAAAAAAACAUGAUGUAAUAAAAUUAGGAGAGAGAGAGAGAGAGAGAGGGGUGGGGGGAUUAAGUGGGUCCACAUUAACGAGUGUGUGCUGUGGCUGUGUGGUUUGACUGUGUCUCCCCUUUGAGAUGAAAUGAAAUGGAAUUGUUCUUAGAACAAAAUAUCUAAAUAUAAACAAACCAAAGAAAAAAAAAAAAAAGAAGAGCGGUUUUGUAUUUGUUGCGCACUGUUUCUUGUGGGGGCCUCAUCUGACAAUCUGGAAUGGUCUGGAAUAAGCCCAAUAUGAGCUGGUUUGAUACCACCUGGAAAAAUAUGACCAAACAAAUGAACUGUUUGGAUAUCUCUGGAUCUCUUGUAAUUACAUUUUUAAUGUUAAAAAUAUAUUAUAUAUCAUUCUUCCCACAAUAAUAGAAAGAGAAUGAAAUGAAAGUAAAAAAGAUCGAAAAAAUUAAUAAGGAAAAAAAAAAGAAGAGUACUAGCUAGUU
rnacentral:lncRNA from 1 species